rnacentral:rRNA from 1 species
GACGAACGCUGGCGGCGUGCUUAACACAUGCAAGUCGAACGGAAAGGCCCUGCUUUUGUGGGGUGCUCGAGUGGCGAACGGGUGAGUAACACGUGAGUAACCUGCCCUUGACUUUGGGAUAACUUCAGGAAACUGGGGCUAAUACCGGAUAGGAGCUCCUGCUGCAUGGUGGGGGUUGGAAAGUUUCGGCGGUUGGGGAUGGACUCGCGGCUUAUCAGCUUGUUGGUGGGGUAGUGGCUUACCAAGGCUUUGAGGGGUAGCCGGCCUGAGAGGGUGACCGGCCACAUUGGGACUGAGAUACGGCCCAGACUCCUACGGGAGGCAGCAGUGGGGAAUAUUGCACAAUGGGCGGAAGCCUGAUGCAGAAACGCCGCGUGCGGGAUGACGGCCUUCGGGUUGUAAACCGCUUUCGCCUGUGACGAAGCGUGAGUGACGGUAAUGGGUAAAGAAGCACCGGCUAACUACGUG